CAGACUUUUCACUCCGAAAACUUACCCCUAUUAGGUUAGUCUUAAACGCCCCCUCAUGCCUUUGUCCUCCACUCUACCAUUUUUAGCAACUUUCAAACCCUCUGUUUCUCUCUCUCUCUCUCUCACAAAAAACACCGUUUUUUAAGAUCCCAGCUUAGCUUGGAGUUUUGAAUGGAUAAAGGUAACAUUUUCCAACUUUCAAACUUUUAAAUCCUUGGUUCCCAGCUCUAAUUUUUACCAUUUUCAAUAGAUUUCGUAUCUUUCCAUAGAAGCUACGGUUUACUUUUGGUUCCUCUCAUUAGCGGCUCACCAAGAUCAAACCACUCAAAACCGAGUGUAAACCUUUAAAACCAGCCACUCCACAGCUUAUGCAACAAGAUCGAUCUCCAUUUGAAAUCAACUCGCGGAAUAAAACAGAACAAGGGCUUGUGUGGGAUGCCAUUGUGUGCGCUAAACGCAUUACUUGGUAGUAGGGAGUUAAUUAGACAAUGUUAUGUUAUAAGUUGCUACCAUAAGAUGGAGCAAUUAGUCUGGUUUAUAUAUAAGAGAUCGAGUUGAAUGUUACCAGGGAGGUCGAGUUAUGUUAAAGGCGCCAGUAAAUGUUUGUGUCUCUAAAUAUUGUGAUCCACCUAUUGGUAUUUGCUAGACUAGUGAUUGUCA